CUGCUGUGUGCCGAGGGCCUUCCCGGUGGAGGACACGGGAGGAACAAAGGACGGCGUCUGUGCCCUGGUGGCACCUACAGAACAGGAGAGGUGACAACGGACGGGCCAGCACUGUUCCCCUCCAACGAUAUCAGCUCCAUGAAGACGGGGACGUGCCUGCUGGUGCACCUCCAGGCCUGGCUUGGUCGGGGCUCAGGAAACGUGGGGCAGGUAGGGAGAUGCUGGGCAGGGGCCAUCUGUCCCCAGUUCUACUUGCUGCCUUUGACUGAAGCCCUCACAGAUACCUGAGGCCACCUCUGCCUGCUAUCCCACGGCCAGCUCCAUCCCCCCUCAAAAGGAACCGCAGGGCCGGGCACAGUGGUGCAGGCCUGCAAUCCCAACACUCCGGGAGGCCCAGGCAGUAGGGUCACAAGUGUGAGCCCAGCCUAGGUGACUCAGUGACUUAGCUAGACCCUGUCUCAAAAUCAGAAUGGGGCUCAGCGCUCCCUGGGCUCAACUCCCAGGAUCCCAAGGGAAAAGACCAGACUGGGACCCUGGUGAGCUGGGCGCUGUCUGCAGGGGCUGAGGCAGAGGAGACUAACAACGCGCAAAACUCAGGCUGUGCUGGACCCCCGGGCAGCACCACUCCUGUGCCAGCUGUCGCCGUUGCCAUCUAUGCCAGGGGACAAUCCGUCUCUCGAACUGUUCUGAGGCUUAAAGAAAGGAACCUCAAGCGCUUCCAUCAGUCUCUGGCCGGGAGGAAACGGCUGGUGAUUGAGAGCCCUGUCACCCAUCUGUGACGCCCCCACCCCACCCCGCCCUGCCACUUCCAGGUCACCUGGUUGGUCGCUGAAGCCUCUGGGCCUUGAUUUUCCGCUCUGUGUAAUGGGGCCUCCCAGGGCUGCUGGGAGCACUCCGUGUGUGACCGCACCAAGAAUGUGUCCUACACAGUGCUGGGUCACCCGUCCUUGUCACUGCCACCACAACGGCCCUACGACUCAAUUCUGUGCCCGCUCGGAGGCAGCGUGCCCAGGAAGCACACAGCCGGGCAUAGGGCGGGUGACACCCAGGUCUGUGCCACCCUGGGGCCUCUGGGAUGCUCUGCCUUGAAUUUUUGAUCCUCCUGCCUCAGCCUCGAGAGUCAUUGGGGUUGGCAUUGGGCUGACCCCGGGCAGCAGCAGAAACCUGACACCCAGCUGGCUUCUGGGGCUGCCGCUGCCCUCCCCAGUGUCCUCUGAGUGGUCGCCAGGGACUCCAGGGCUAAAAAGGGCCUGCUGGAGUGGAGGAGGGGGCAGCCUGCCCAGCCUGGGCUUUUACACCUACUAUGUGAGAGGGGCUGGAGCAGGCAGAAGCUAUGAGAGUGAGAAGGCUCCGCAGGCGGCACUGUUCUCCUGCCUCACACAUGGGGAAACUGCAGCUCCUUGCAAGGACCCCGAAGAAACCACUGAUGGCAACUGUCUCCUUCCUGGCCCGGCUUCCCUCAGUGGUGGGAUUACAGGCUGGAUUUUUUUUUUUUUUUAAACAUAAACAACCAUUACCUAAAUAAUGGUAACAGCCGCUGUCACCCCAAAAGCACUCCCAGCAUUAAACGAACAAGAAACCCUGA